rnacentral:rRNA from 1 species
GACGAACGCUGGCGGCGUGCUUAACACAUGCAAGUCGAACGGAAAGGCCCUGCUUUUGUGGGGUGCUCGAGUGGCGAACGGGUGAGUAACACGUGAGUAACCUGCCCUUGACUUUGGGAUAACUUCAGGAAACUGGGGCUAAUACCGGAUAGGAGCUCCUGCUGCAUGGUGGUGGUUGGAAAGUUUCGGCGGUUGGGGCUGGACUCGCGGCUUAUCAGCUUGUUGGUGGGGUAGUGGCUUACCAAGGCUUUGACGGGUAGCCGGCCUGAGAGGGUGACCGGCCACAUUGGGACUAAGAUACGGCCCAGACUCCUACGGGAGGCAACAGUGGGAAGUAUUGCACAAUGGGCGGAAGCCUGAUGCGGCAACGCCGCGUGCGGGAUGAAGGCCUUCGGGUUGUAAACCGCUUUGGCAUGUGACGAAGCGUGAGUGACGGUAAUGGGUAAAGAAGCACCGGCUAACUACGUG